GCCCUGACGCGAUGGCGACGCCGCCGGUGCCGGUGUCGGUGUCGGUGUCGGUGCCCGUGCCCGAGGCGGCCGGCCCGCCCGCGGAGCCGCUGUCCGAUGUGAGGAAGGCGGGUUACCUGAGGAAACCCAAGAGCAUGCACCGGCGCUUCUUCGUGCUGAGGGCGGCCAGCGAGCUGGGCCCGGCCCGCCUCGAGUACUACGAGAACGAGAAGAAAUGGAGGCAGAAGGCGGGCGCGCCGAAACGCUCCGUGCAGCUGGAGAGCUGCUUCAACAUCAACAAGAGGGCGGACUCCAAGAACAAGUACCUGGUCGCCCUGUACACCCGGGACGAGUACUUCGCGGUGGCCGCCGACUGUGAGGGUGACCAGGAGAGCUGGUACCGGGCCCUGCUGGAGCUCCAUAACCGGGCCAAGGUCCCUGAGGAGCGGGCUGACAGGGACACCGCCGGGGCCCCGGUAUCUCCUGAGGACGGUACCGGGGAAGCGAGCCCAGGGCCCGCCUUUAAGGAGGUCUGGCAGGUGGUGCUGAAGCCCAAAGGUCUGGGUCACAGUAAGAACCUGGUGGGUAUAUACCGGCUGUGCCUGACCAACAAGACCAUCAGCCUGGUCAAACUCAACUCGGAGGCAGCCGCCGUGGUGCUGCAGCUGAUGAACAUCAGGCGGUGCGGGCACUCGGAGAAUUUCUUCUUCAUUGAGGUGGGCAGGUCGGCGGUGACCGGGCCCGGAGAGUUCUGGAUGCAGGUCGAUGACUCGGUGGUGGCCCAGAACAUGCACGAGACCAUCCUGGAGGCCAUGAAGGCCAUGAGCGAGGAGUUCCGGCCGCGCAGCAAGAGCCAGUCGGCGUCCAGCUCCAACCCCAUCUCGGUGCCCCUCCGGCGGCACCUCAAUAACCCACCGCCCAGCCAGGUGGGCCUGAGCCGCCGCUCCCGGACCGAGAGCGUCACCGCCUCCGCCACCUCGCCGGCCGGCAAGCACAGCUCGUUCCGGGUGCGAGCCUCCAGCGACGGCGAGGGCACCAUGUCCAGGCCGGCGUCAGUGGACGGCAGCCCGGUCAGCCCGAGCACCGGGCGGACGCACUCUCACCGACACCGGGGUGGCUGCAGGCUGCACCCCCCUCUCAACCACAGCAGGUCCAUCCCCAUGCCGUCCGCCCACUGCUCCCCUUCGGCCACCAGCCCCGUCAGCUUGUCCUCCAGCAGCACCAGUGGCCACGGGUCCACCUCGGACAGCCUCUUCCCGAGACGAUCCAGUGCCUCCAUCUCGGGCUCGCCCAGCGAUGGGGGCUUCAUUUCCUCCGAUGAGUAUGGAUCCAGCCCAUGUGAUUUCAGGAAUUCCUUCAGGAGUGUCACCCCCGAUUCCUUGGGGCACACUCCUCCUGCAAGGGAGGAGCAGGAGUUAAACAACUACAUUUACAUGGGGAAACAUUCGAGCCUUGGUCCAAGUUGCCAAAACAGGGGUGGUCAAAGGUGGACUCCAACAAAAGCUGAGGAUGCAGACUCCGACAAAGGGUUUAGGAAGCGGGCACAUUCAUCAGGUACUUCACCACCUACAGUGAUGCACCAAAAGACCUCUUCUCAAACUUCCACCACCUCCUUUGCGGAGUACACAGAGAUGACACCAUCUUACCCCGGUGGUCGUUUGUCAUCCAGUAAAAAUUCAGCUUUUGUGCCUACUCACUCGUACCCCGAGGAAUGUUUGGAUCUCCAGUUAGGAGAAGGUAGACGUUACAGCCAAAUGGAUGAUGGUUAUAUGCCAAUGUCACCUGGAGUAGCACCUGUACCCAAUAAAAAUGACUACAUGCCAAUGAGCCCAAAAAGUGUUUCUGCCCCACAGCAAAUCAUCAAUCCACGUCAACAUUCUCGUAAAGAUGGUUACAUGAUGAUGUCACCGAGUGGCAGUUGCUCACCAGAAAAUGUGAACUAUGGGAAAAUAUGGACUAAUGGGGGCAAUUCUAAGCUUUCUGUUGAGAGUAACGAUGGGAAAUUAUCAUGCAGUGAUUACAUAAAUAUGUCUCCUGCAAGUUGCUCAACAACAAGCACUCCACCAGACUGCUUCUUCAAUCCAGUUGAAGAACCUCAUAAACCUGUCUGUUCUUACUUCUCACUGCCUCGUUCCUUUAAACAUGUACAUAGAAAGAAUGAUGAGUCCCCUUUACGGAUUGCUGUAAAUUCAGGCCGUCUUUUGUAUUGCGAGGAUUCUUCCUCAUCUACGAGCAGCGACAGUUUAGGAGGUCAAGAUGGUGGACAUCACACAGUUAGCUCUACUAAAAAGGAAUUGUAUGUACCGAUGAAAGGUAAACUUGUACGACCCACUAGACUGUCACUUGAUAACACUAAGGCAAGUACAUUGCCCAGAACACGUGAGCAUCCCCUUCCUCCAGAGCCAAAAAGCCCAGGCGAGUAUGUAAAUAUUGAAUUUAGUGACAAAACCUUUUCUUCUAGUUCAUUGUCACUUGUUGAGCCCUCUUCAGUUGGAGGCAUGCAUUCUGUUCGACAAAGACCACCUGUGUCUGAAUACAUGAAUAUGAAUUCAAGAAUGGACUCAUCCAAGUUUGGUUAUGUAUCAAAACCCACAGUGGAUAUCACCAACUCUGCAACUGCCUGCACAACCAGCACUUGCAGAAAAGAUAGAGGGCAGGCAAGCUGUGAUUAUGUUAGUAUGCAGCUAGUUAACACCUGUACAGACUUGCUGGAAUCAGCAGUGAGUAACUAUAAAGAGAUGACAGUUGGUGGAGGGAUAACAUCUUCCAUUUCCGUUCUACCUCGGGGAGAAGAGAGCUCAUUGACCACUGUUUCUGAUGUCGUGGCUGGUCCUACGAUGGAUCAGAUUUCCGGGAGGAGUGCCUUCACUGUGCUUAAUCUUGUCCCUAAUCGAAACCAAGGUGCCAAAGUUAUCCGUGUUGAUCCCCAAGGAAGAAGACGACACAGUUCGGAGACUUUUACUUCCACAGCCAAUGUGACUGGCAUGACCCUAUCUUAUGUUGAUCACGUUAAACGCCAUAGUUCAGUGUCCUUUGAAAAUGUGUGGCUUAACAAACCAGGUGAUUCCCUUGUUGCAGGUGCCAAAGAGCAACCAAAUGAUGCCACAGUGCAGAAUGAUUGUGAAAAUGUUAUGAAUUACAUUGAUUUGGACUUGGUAAACGAUUUUAAAAACAAAGGUUGGACCUCCUCUCAGCAUGUAACCCCUCAUCAACCUCAUGGAAAUACCUCUGGUGGUGGUGAUGAUCUGAAUUCAUAUGCAAGCAUCACUUUCCAGAAACCUGAUGAAAUUGUGAAGCCAACAGAAAGGGAAGGUUCCUUAGACUUGCCCCAAUAUGUCGGCACGUGAUCACAGCACCCAAUUUGGAAUGACAUCUUCUUAACCCUCAGCAAGCCUUUCAUGGACUUGAUGAGCACUUAGAGUUUCAAUAAUUUGUACAGUACAACCAGGACCUCACAUUCUUUCACAUAAAGAAUGGUACAACAAAUCACAAUCACUCCAACUUGCUGCAAGAAACCUCAGGACAUUAGUUUUCUGACUGGAUUGCAUGUUCGCCCAUGUAUAUGUCUGUGGAGCACACAGUGUGUGCACACAUGUGCUACAGCGAAUCUGCCUCUGUUCCUUCAUCAGCACACUCUACUUCAACAAUCUCUAUAAGCAAAUGGGAAAGACUGCCAUCAAUGCAAUUCAGAUGCCUAACCUGGACUGGAAUACACAAACAUUUAACCUGGACUUUCACGUGCUGCUGAAACAUUUAAGCACAUGACUGAUGCAGUUCAAAGCAGCAACUCACCAUCACCCUCUCAAGGAUAACUGGAGUGGAACUGAAUGAUGGCCCAUGUCCCACCAGAGAAUAAAAACAAGGUGCUGUUUGAUAGCACUGCUAAUGGCACUUUCCAACACUUCACUGAUGAUACCGGAGAUUGUACUCGAUGUCCUUAAGAAAACGCCAAGGACACUGCUUUAUUAUCUACUGUCUUCACCUGUCCUUCUUCAAUGAUUUGUGCACAUAUGCACCCACUGUAAAAUUGUAACCCCUAUUAUAUAUUGUAUUUCACUGCUCUUCUGACCAAACGGCAUCAUCUCACACCGCUCUGUAUUGAAUAGAUACAUUUGAAAUCUAGUCUUAAUCUUAUGCCAAUGCUAUAUGCGGAAAUUUAAUUUUUCAAACCAAUUAUUCAUUCGCAAGGAACUUCAGCCUUGACUGGCUUUGAAGCAAUAAUUACUUUUUCACGUCUUGCAAUUCCAAAUUUGUUAUCUGCAUAACAAAAUAAAAACUGAUAAGCUCUGAAAAUGUCGCAUUGUCUCCAAACAUAAUUGUAAAAACUCAGGCUUUUAUCUUACUCAUUUCUUUAAAUUGAGACACAAAUUAUUGCAGUGUGUCCUCUUGCACAGUUACGAUUGUACAAAAACUUGAUGCAAAAUAAUUUGUAUCAAGUUUAUAACACUGGCUCCGUUUAAAAAUUAAGCAUUUGGAAUUGAAUGCCAACUUUAUACAUGGAAAUACUGAAAAAAAGUUCUCAAAAGCCAUUUCCAUUUGUCUUACAGCAUUGUAUUUUGAAGUUGUUAUUUAAGUCAGUUGGAGAAUAAUGAGUGCCUUUGU